AUGCUGCGGCGGUGCCUGCCCGUCGCCUCCCUCCGCCCCCGGGCUGGGAGAGGCAGGAGAAGGUGGGCCGGGGGCAGCCUGGAGCCCGGGGGCAGAGGGGGAGGCGGGAGGCGGAGCUGCCAGGGACGGGCCGCCGCUGCUGCUGCCGCUGGAGCCGGUCAAACUGCACAGCCACUUCCCCCAGGAGCUUCCCUUUCAUCUCCCCGCUCCUGGCGCCUGCAAAACAGCCUCAGUUUGUCUGCAACGUCUCUCCUCCCCCUGCCUUCCCUCCCUCCCCGUCCCUCUCCAGCUGAGAGCCCCAGGACGGGGCGCGCAGAGGCAACCCCGGCGGACGGAGGCGGGAGGCUGGGGGUGCGGGGGGCUCUCGGGGCAUCCUUGGGAUCUGUACUCGCUGAGACAGCUUCUGAGGGCUGCCGAGAGAUGGGGGAUACAAGGGAGAUGGGCAGGGAAACGGCUCCGGAGGUCGCUCCCGUGGAGCUCCGACGGUCGUGCUCGGAACCGCCCUCCCGGGGAGCGCUGUGGACACUCAGGGAACACCCCCCUGAAUCACGUCGGUUCCACGGCACGGAUGAAAUCCCUGCUGAUCUGAGGUCUCUCUGUAGUCCAGGAUCGGGGGAAAGACUUAAUUCCAAGAAGUGUCAUCAAACCUAUGUGCUUUCGAGGCUGCCGUCCCGGCAUUCGGUGCCGCGUGGGGUUUAUUUCCCCUGUUUAACUGACAGGAGGAGGAUGAAGUGGGGGAGGGUGGAGGGAGGAGAGAAACUUUCAAGUUCAGACUUUAAACAGAAAAGGUUCCGAGCCCGAUACGAGCUGACGCUGAAGGAGGGAAAACGCCAUAAGCAAGAUCUGCCUCUCUGUGUAAUACCAAACGCCCCAGUGGCACCCCAAGGCCAACCAAACCAGGCUGACAGAGCCAACUUCUGUCCCGUGCUUCUCGACGCCGUGAGAAGUUUGUCUCUCGGUUCCCCUCUUUCUUCCACCUUCCCGAAAGAUGACAGCUCAGAGGGGGCUCCCCAAGCCCAGGGGGACAACGUCCAGGCCACAGCCAUACAGCCAGGGAGCUACACCAACGGGACGUGA
rnacentral:lncRNA from 1 species